rnacentral:sRNA from 2 species
UCGCCGGUUCCGCCUGGAAUGCCGGGAAUUGCACCGAGGGAACCGGGGAACCACCUUCUUGGGGUGAAUCGGACGCCUCUCGCCAGGGGGCGCCGUAGGAGACCUUCCUGCUCCGAACCCGUCAGCUAACCCGGUAGGCGAGAAGGAAGGAAAGG